ensembl:lncRNA novel transcript, antisense to OR13G1, OR6F1 and OR14A2
AGAAAUUUAGGACCAAGAAUCUUCUGUCACAGAACCUAUUACUUUGAGGAGUGAACUUAUAUUAACGGUGCUAAACCGUACAUGAACGACUUGGUAGAUGAAAACUUUGGAAAAUAGGAACAUUUCAUGUCAUCACAUGUAUCCUCCAGCAUUGGGGAAAAUUCAACAGUUGCCUUAAGGCGGGAGUUUAAUUGAGGACAUUUACUAAAAAGUUACUUAUUCUGUUUGAAAUUCUCUUCUGAUAAACAUCUUCCCGGGAUAACGAACAUCUCCAGGAUGUGAGAGCCGAGCGCGUGUCCGCGGAGUGCUUGAGCAACGCAGAAUGGCUUCGGUGCUGCGUUCCUUAGACCCCGUGCGGACCCUGCUGAGCCCUCAGCAUCUGUGAAGUGAGUAACCUAUGGUCAGCAUUUUGUUGGGUCUUGUUUUAAAAACUCACUCAGUCCCGGCGCGGUGGCUCACGCUUCUAAUCCCAGCACUUUGAGAGGCUGAGGCGGGCGGACCACGAGGUCAGGAGAUCGAGACCAUCCUGCUUAACACGGUGAAACCCCAUCUCUACUAAGAAAAACACAAAAAAAUUAGCCGGGCGUGGUGGCGGGUGCCUGUAGUCCCAGCUACUGGAGAGGCUGAGGCAGGAGAAUGGCGUGAACCUGGGAGGUGGAGCUUGCAGUGAGCUGAGAUGGCGCCACUGCACUCCAGCCUGGGCAACAGAGCGAGACUCUGUC